rnacentral:rRNA from 1 species
UACGUAGGGGGCAAGCGUUGUCCGGAUUUAUUGGGCGUAAAGAGCGUGUAGGCGGUUCGGUAGGUCCGUUGUGAAAACUCGAGGCUCAACCUCGAGACGCCGAUGGAAACCAUCGAACUAGAGUCCGGAAGAGGAGAGUGGAAUUCCUGGUGUAGCGGUGAAAUGCGCAGAUAUCAGGAAGAACACCGGUGGCGAAGGCGGGUCUCUGGGCCGAUACUGACGCUGAGGAGCGAAAGCGUGGGGAGCGAACAGG